rnacentral:rRNA from 1 species
UACAGAGGUCUCAAGCGUUGUCCGGAAUCAUUGGGCGUAAAGAGCGCGUAGGCGGCCCUGUAAGUCCGCUGUGAAAGUCAAGGGCUCAACCCUUGAAUGCCGGUGGAUACUGCAGGGCUAGAGUCCGGAAGAGGCGAGUGGAAUUCCUGGUGUAGCGGUGAAAUGCGCAGAUAUCAGGAGGAACACCGAUGGCGAAGGCAGCUCGCUGGGACGGUACUGACGCUGAGGCGCGAAAGCGUGGGAGCAAACAGG